rnacentral:rRNA from 1 species
UACGGGGGGGGCAAGCGUUGUUCGGAAUUACUGGGCGUAAAGGGCUUGUAGGUGGCCAACUACGUCAGACGUGAAAUCCCUCGGCUUAACCGGGGAACUGCGUCUGAUACUGGAUGGCUUGAGUGUGGGAGAGGGAUGCGGAAUUCCAGGUGUAGCGGUGAAAUGCGUAGAUAUCUGGAGGAACACCGGUGGCGAAGGCGGCAUCCUGGACCAUUACUGACACUGAAAAGCGAAAGCCAGGGGAGCAAACGGG